CGGGCAGGUGGCCUUUUAAGUCCUUUGUGAAAUCCCGGAGCUCAACUCCGGAUGUGCAUAGGAUACUGGAAGGCUAGAGACUGGUAGAGGCGAGCGGAAUUCCUGGUGUAGCGGUGGAAUGCGUAGAUAUCAGGAAGAACACCGGUGGCGAAGGCGGCUCGCUGGGCCAGUUCUGACACUCAUCCGCGAAAGCGUGGGGAGCAAACAGGAUUAGAUACCCUGGUAGUCCACGCCGUAAACGAUGGGCACUAGAUGCCGGGCCUAUAGACGGGUUCGGUGUCGCAGCUAACGCAUUAAGUGCCCCGCCUGGGGAGUACGGCCGCAAGGCUGAA
rnacentral:rRNA from 1 species